GAUGAACGCUGGCGGCGUGCUUAACACAUGCAAGUCGAACGAUGAAGCCCAGCUUGCUGGGUGGAUUAGUGGCGAACGGGUGAGUAACACGUGAGUAACCUGCCCUUAACUCUGGGAUAAGCCUGGGAAACUGGGUCUAAUACCGGAUAGGAGCGCCUACCGCAUGGUGGGUGUUGGAAAGAUUUAUCGGUUUUGGAUGGACUCGCGGCCUAUCAGCUUGUUGGUGAGGUAAUGGCUCACCAAGGCGACGACGGGUAGCCGGCCUGAGAGGGUGACCGGCCAAACUGGGAAUGAGACAAGGCCCAGAAUCCUACGGGAGGGAGGAGUGGGGAAUAUUGCACAAAGGGCGAAAGCCUGAUGCAGCGACGCCGCGUGAGGGAAGACGGCCUUCGGGUGGUAAACCUCUUUCAGUAGGGAAGAAGCGAAAGUGACGGUACCUGCAGAAGAAGCACCGGCUAACUACGU
rnacentral:rRNA from 1 species